rnacentral:rRNA from 1 species
GUCCACGCCGUAAACGAUGUGUGCUGGAUGUCGGGGGGUAUUCACCCCCUCGGUAUCGAAGUCAACGCGAUAAGCACACCGCCUGGGGAGGUACGGCCGCAAGGUUGAAACUCAAAGGAAUUGACGGGGGCCCGCACAAGCGGUGGAGUAUGUGGUUUAAUUCGACGCAACGCGAAGAACCUUACCCAGCCUUGACAUCCCUGGAAGUCGGUGGAAACACCUUCGUGCCUUCGCAAGAAGGAGCCAGGAGACAGGUGCUGCAUGGCUGUCGU